GUAAUACGUAGGGGGCGAGCGUUGCUCGGAUUUACUGGGCGUAAAGAGCGCGUAGGCGGCCAGGUAAGUCCGUUGUGAAAGCCCUCGGCUCAACCGAGGAUCCGCAUCGGAMACUACUUGGCUUGAGUCCAGGAGAGGAGGGUGGAAUUCCCGGUGUAGCGGUGAAAUGCGUAAUAUCGGGAGGAACACCGGUGGCGAAGGCGGCCCUCUGGAAUGGUACUGACGCUGAGGCGCGAAAGCUGGGGGAGCGAACGGGAUUAGAUACCCCGGUAGUCCCAGCCGUAAACGAUGGGCACUAGGUGUGGGAGGUAUUGACCCCUUCCGUGCCGCAGCUAACGCAUUAAGUGCCCCGCCUGGGGAGUACGGCCGCAAGGUUGAAACUCAAAGGAAUUGACGGGGGCCCGCACAAGCGGUGGAGCAUGUGGUUUAWUUCGACGCAWCGCGAAGAAACCUUACCAGGGCUUUGACAUGGCGGUAGUACCAAMCCUGAAAAGGGG
rnacentral:rRNA from 1 species